rnacentral:rRNA from 1 species
AGAGUUUGAUCAUGGCUCAGAUUGAACGCUGGCGGCAGGCCUAACACAUGCAAGUCGAACGGUAACAGGAAUCAGCUUGCUGAUUUGCUGACGAGUGGCGGACGGGUGAGUAAUGUCUGGGAAACUGCCUGAUGGAGGGGGAUAACUACUGGAAACGGUAGCUAAUACCGCAUAAUGUCGCAAGACCAAAGAGGGGGACCUUCGGGCCUCUUGCCAUCGGAUGUGCCCAGAUGGGAUUAGCUAGUAGGUGGGGUAAAGGCUCACCUAGGCGACGAUCCCUAGCUGGUCUGAGAGGAUGACCAGCCACACUGGAACUGAGACACGGUCCAGACUCCUACGGGAGGCAGCAGUGGGGAAUAUUGCACAAUGGGCGCAAGCCUGAUGCAGCCAUGCCGCGUGUAUGAAGAAGGCCUUCGGGUUGUAAAGUACUUUCAGCGGGGAGGAAGGGAGUAAAGUUAAUACCUUUGCUCAUUGACGUUACCCGCAGAAGAAGCACCGGCUAACUCCGUGCCAGCAGCCGCGGUAAUACGGAGGGUGCAAGCGUUAAUCGGAAUUACUGGGCGUAAAGCGCACGCAGGCGGUUUGUUAAGUCAGAUGUGAAAUCCCCGGGCUCAACCUGGGAACUGCAUCUGAUACUGGCAAGCUUGAGUCUCGUAGAGGGGGGUAGAAUUCCAGGUGUAGCGGUGAAAUGCGUAGAGAUCUGGAGGAAUACCGGUGGCGAAGGCGGCCCCCUGGACGAAGACUGACGCUCAGGUGCGAAAGCGUGGGGAGCAAACAGGAUUAGAUACCCUGGUAGUCCACGCCGUAAACGAUGUCGACUUGGAGGUUGUGCCCUUGAGGCGUGGCUUCCGGAGCUAACGCGUUAAGUCGACCGCCUGGGGAGUACGGCCGCAAGGUUAAAACUCAAAUGAAUUGACGGGGGCCCGCACAAGCGGUGGAGCAUGUGGUUUAAUUCGAUGCAACGCGAAGAACCUUACCUGGUCUUGACAUCCACGGAAGUUUUCAGAGAUGAGAAUGUGCCUUCGGGAACCGUGAGACAGGUGCUGCAUGGCUGUCGUCAGCUCGUGUUGUGAAAUGUUGGGUUAAGUCCCGCAACGAGCGCAACCCUUAUCCUUUGUUGCCAGCGGUCCGGCCGGGAACUCAAAGGAGACUGCCAGUGAUAAACUGGAGGAAGGUGGGGAUGACGUCAAGUCAUCAUGGCCCUUACGACCAGGGCUACACACGUGCUACAAUGGCGCAUACAAAGAGAAGCGAUCUCGCGAGAGCAAGCGGACCUCAUAAAGUGCGUCGUAGUCCGGAUUGGAGUCUGCAACUCGACUCCAUGAAGUCGGAAUCGCUAGUAAUCGUGGAUCAGAAUGCCACGGUGAAUACGUUCCCGGGCCUUGUACACACCGCCCGUCACACCAUGGGAGUGGGUUGCAAAAGAAGUAGGUAGCUUAACCUUCGGGAGGGCGCUUACCACUUUGUGAUUCAUGACUGGGGUGAAGUCGUAACAAGGUAACCGUAGGGGAACCUGCGGUUGGAUCACCU